AGAGACAGCAGCCGCCGCGGUAAUACGUAGGUCCCGAGCGUUGUCCGGAUUUAUUGGGCGUAAAGCGGGCGCAGGCGGUUAGAUAAGUCUGAAGUUAAAGGCUGUGGCUUAACCAUAGUACGCUUUGGAAACUGUUUAACUUGAGUGCAAGAGGGGAGAGUGGAAUUCCAUGUGUAGCGGUGAAAUGCGUAGAUAUAUGGAGGAACACCGGUGGCGAAAGCGGCUCUCUGGCUUGUAACUGACGCUGAGGCUCGAAAGCGUGGGGAGCAAACAGGAUUAGAUACCCGCGUAGUCCCUGUCUCUUAUACA
rnacentral:rRNA from 1 species